CCGCGUUUGUUCAGCUCAUCUCUCAGUUGACGUGUUUGACGAGUCUGGUAUGGAGAAACAUGAGAAAGUUGCUAUUAUCUCUACAAAUGUAAUUAAUCCUGUCAUAUUCGAUCAAGCUAUGAGAAUUUUUAUUCCACAUGUACCGGCUGGAACAUCUGCUUGCCCAAGGUAAGUGUUGUUGAGGAUUUGUCAGGUCAUUAGUUUUGAACUGAAAUCAAUUAAAUAUGAGUGUUAAUUGUUUGGGGUGUGCUUGCUUUGUAAUUUCGUGGCUGUUGAUGGUGUUUUUCCUGAAAUUGUUGCUUCUUGCUUACAACUUUGGUUUUUGGGGACUGUUUUUUGGCAUCACUAUUUUAGCCUAUAGCAAUCUGAAACACCACAUUCCGGGAUGAUUUUUCCUGCUCCCAUUCUGGCCUCCAUGGUCGGGUUCGUUCCUGCUCUUCUCAUAUUUUGGGCAUAUGAACAAACAAUUUUAGUUUUACAGUCACCAUAUUAUGGCCAUAGGUAUUGUCAUGUUCAUGUGAGCCUUUAAAAGAAAGGUGAUGAACUAAAUAAAAUUUGAAACUUUAUUGCCAGAGGAGAUGGAUAAAUUGUGGUAGUGACAGUGUAUAUGAGCAGUGACACAGUCUAGAUCAUGAACAAUACUGUAGACUCAGAUUUUGAUCAGGACAACUAGGAAAAAAGGGAAUCUGUUGUAUAUAUGUUAGCGAGGAAGUAUCCACUGAUAUGUGCUAGGUAAACAUGCUUAAACUUGCAAGGAAUUAUUUUUCCCAAGAUGAUUGAGCAUGUCAAAAUUGUGUUAUACAUGUCAAGAAUCCUUGAGUACAAGUAGAAGAGAUGUACCACUUCAAUAUUCAAGGGUGAGAUUACCGACGGUAGAAACAGAGAUGAGUUUGUUCUAAAAUUUUAUCUUUGUGCAUUCAAUUUUGAUGAAAUAAUUACGAGAAUUUUAUUCUUGAAAAAAUAAAUUAUUUAUUACGGAUGUUUAAGGAAAUUUCCCUCGCAGCAAAAAUUUCUCAGCAACUUCUUUAUUCGGUGAAAUGCGACCAAGGUCAGAGGGACGAGUUCAAUGCCCAGUGGCUAUUUGAGAAAACAAAGGUUAUGGUAAGUUUGAACCAAUUAUCGAAGCUGAUGGAAGUGCUUUGCCUGUUGUUGAUCAUAUAAAUAGAAGACCUCCUGUUUUAUACCAUGUCCUUUGACUUAGAAUGUGUGCUUGCCUGUUGGUUUCUGAAACUGUUCUUAGUGUGAAUGCAUUGUUUCCUUCAAUUGGAUAAAUUCAUUUCGUGUUAACCCAAUGGCUAUUGAUGGUUUUAAGGCAUCCCAAUAGCUAUUGAAGGUUUUAAGGCAAUCUCGGUAUACAAGUUGAACGGUAAUUUAUUAUCUUCUCUUUAUUGUCAAAUUGCUUAUGAGAUUACAAUAUUCCGUUGUAUCAAACGUGAGCUAAUCUUCUUCUCUUACCUUUUCUUAUAUUUGGCUCACAUUUAACAAUUGGUUGAUUAUCUUUUCAUUUGCAGUGGUGUUAAGUUUUGGUGGUGCAAGUACCUAUUAAAUCUACGUUUUCUCUGUGUUGUGGCCUCUAAAAACCAUGCCACGACAACGCCCAUAAACAGCUUAUGUAGAUAUUGUUUUUGAUGUUGCUUUCGUACUCCUGACAGACACAUCGACUGUUAGUUACUAUAAUAAUAUUCUUCUAUUUCCCUUAUUGUAUAUAAAGGUUUGUAUUCCGUGUGCAUUAUCCUAAUUUGAUCUUAUAGACUUUGUUUUGUAAAAUCAAAGAAACCUAUUACCAUUUUUCCAACUUAUUUUAUCAUCGUUGUAUAAAAUGUAAAUCGUUGCGAAUUUCACGGGAUCGUGCGCCAAGGCGCACAUUUAAAUCUAGUCUGAAGGUAUAUAUGAUGCCCCCCAUAGGGGGCCUCACAGCGAUCCUCGCACGUGAGCCGUCGGAUCUUCCUUGCGACGAAUCUCGGUCGUCCGUUUUUCUUCACUGUGACAUAUAAAAGCGGCAGCUCAAGUUAGAAACCCUAGCCGCCGCUGCCCAAUCCCCUCACGCUUCGCCUCCUCUCCCAAUCCCACCACGUCUCUCAUGCUCCUCCCUCCUCUCCCUUGGCAAGAAGACGAAGGGGGAUCGGGAAACCCUAGCCGCCGGCCCCCAAUCGUCGCACGUCCUCUCUCCCCAAUCCCGUCGUCCUCCACUCCUCCCAAUCCCGUCUCCCAGUUGUCCUCCUCAAUCCCGUUGCUGCUCUCCCGUUACCACUUCCCUGGCUUUCUCUUCUUCUCAUCCGUGAGCCUGUACGUGGUGGUGGAGAUGCACAAGGCGUCGGUGCUGGAGAUCGAGCCGCCGCCAACACCACAUCUCCCCGGGCGAGCUCCUCGAUGCCUCAACAGGGUUUGAUUAGGCCGAUAUGGGCAGGGACAGGUGCAGCGGGCGGCGGCCGCAGGUGGACGAUGGUAGCCGCCGUUGGUGGACGCACGAUGGCAGAGGUGAAAUCGAGCGCAGACCACGGACACAGCUUGGGGUUUGGGCGGCAACGCCCAUCGAGCGACGAUGAGCACGGCUGAAUGAGGCCAACGACCACGGGAUUAGAUUGGUUCUUGGGCAGCGACCCAUGAUUUGGGCGGCAGUUCGAUGACGAGCACGGCUAGAGGAGGAGAAGAUGACCACUGGCGAUGGAAUUGCAAUCGUUGCUCUGCUGAUGUUCACCUCCUUCCUAAACACCCUUGCAUGUGACUUACGGCUCAUCGCUUGCUUCUCAUUUCAUUUACUGUGCCGUUGUCGAUGAUAAGUUCACUCUUCACUGAUUUAAGCAGAUGCCGUGGAGUUUGGUUCUUUGGCUCCCUCGGCCCCAAGCACUAUUUGCCUAAGGUUCCAACCUCUUGCACAGUUUAGUCUGCUGUAAUCUUGCUCUCUUGCUCUGUUGGUUGUUUUUGUUCUUCUAAGUAAAUGUAUAUAUCGUAUCAAUCAUUGUGUGGUGGCAUGUCAAUUUAGCUUAUUAUUUGAUCGAGCUCGGCCUCCUUUGCACCCACUUCAUCAUGCACAAUGCCUCAUUGGCCAUUCGGUUUGUGGUGUCUACCAAUUGUAUGAUCCAGAAAGUAAUGGAAUAUUAAGCUAUUGGUGGAUGGCCUUCUCAAUCCUUCAGGGUAUGAAACUAUUUAGCCUCUUUGUUGCAGUUACACUGAUUGGGUGUUGGUUGUUCGAGUUUCGUGUCUAGCCAUUGCAAAAUGGUUUAACUUUAAUGAUUUUGUAUAUGUCUCCUCUGCAUCCUCCUCAACCAAAGUACAAGACUAGUGUGGCUUCUCAAGGCAAUCUGGUGGCCAAUGUAACCUUCUACUCCCUAACACACCGUCUCACCAUCAAUUUUGGCAGUGUAUUAUUGUCCAGCCAACAAAUGGGCAGGCUCGAGGCCGUGGAAAAUGCUGCGCCACACAUGCCAUUGGUAUGUAGCAGCCAGCGAUAUCGAAAGCUUACAACUAUGACAAGCCUAGGAAGCUGUCUCAAGAGUGUUAUCUCAAACAAUGAGAAGGACAAACGGUUGAAUGGGAAGGACAAGCAGCAUAAAGAAUUUACCAGCACUUGGAAACGCAACUAAAAGCGGUUUGAGGAGACCAGAAUAAGGAUCUUAAUAAUGUGCUUGCUUACUAUCCACACAAGUAGGUAUAAUAAAAAUUGGAGUUUAUGGCUGGGUUUACCUGAUGGCCUUGAUAUGGAGCUUUGCUGAUGGUCUUGCGGAAUAACUGAGUUACUUCUGAGUGAUGAUUUAUGACUGAUAGGUUUGUUCCCUUGCUGCAAAAAGAAGAAAAGCAUCAUUUCCCCUCACCGGAAAAAUUGAUAAAGGCACAAUAUUUGUAUGUCCGUGCAAUCCAGCAAUUGAAGCCACUCUUUGCCUCAUCCAUGAGAAGCACCAGAAACCAUACAUGGAGAAACUUAAACCGGCCAUUUGAGAUUUCAGUCAUGUUCUGGAACUUGACUUCAAUUGGGCAAAGAGUGGCUUCAAUUGCUGGAUUUAUCAAUGCUUUGUAGGAACUGAUUAUCACACUUUUUUUUUGUCUUCAGAAACUUUAAUCGGGCAUUUUAGAUUUUAGUGAUGUUCUGUGGAACUUCAAUCACUCAUGAUUUCUGUUCAUUUCAUUUGUACAAGGUGCAUGCAAUUGGCUCGCAUCAAGAUCCCACCAACAUUCAUGACUGACGCCAUGUUAGAUGAGCUGCAACUUCACAGAUUGA